rnacentral:hammerhead_ribozyme from 1 species
GAGCUGCUGAAGAGUCCCAUAAUAGGGUGAAAUGGCCAUCCAGUGC